UACGUAGGGUGCGAGGCGUUAAUCGGAAUUACUGGGCGUAAAGAGUGCGUAGGCGGUUCUUUUGUGUCCGCUGUGAAAGCCCGGGCUUAACCUGGGAAUGGCAGUGGAAACUAGAGAACUUGAAUCUGGCAGAGGGGGUGGAAUGCCACGGUGUAGCAGUGAAAUGCGUAGAUAUGUGGCGGAACACCGAUGGCGGAAGGC
rnacentral:rRNA from 1 species